GACGAACGCUGGCGGCGUGCUUAACACAUGCAAGUCGAACGGAAAGGCCCUGCUUUUGUGGGGUGCUCGAGUGGCGAACGGGUGAGUAACACGUGAGUAACCUGCCCUUGACUUUGGGAUAACUUCAGGAAACUGGGGCUAGUACCGGAUAGGAGCUCCUGCUGCAUGGUGGGGGUUGGAAAGUUUCGGCGGUUGGGGAUGGACUCGCGGCUUAUCAGCUUGUUGGUGGGGUAGUGGCUUACCAAGGCUUUGACGGGUAGCCGGCCUGAGAGGGUGACCGGCCACAUUGGGACUGAGAUACGGCCCAGACUCCUACGGGAGGCAGCAGUGGGGAAUAUUGCACAAUGGGCGGAAGCCUGAUGCAGCAACGCCGCGUGCGGGAUGACGGCCUUCGGGUGGUAAACCGCUUUCGCCUGUGACGAAGCGUGAGUGACGGGAAUGGGUAAAGAAGCACCGGCUAACUACGU
rnacentral:rRNA from 1 species